AACACCAUCCAAUCCCACCCUUCAGCUCCACUCAACCCCUCCCAUCUAUCUCUGAACACCAUCCAGUUUUGAUUCCUAUUGGCCGUAUAUUUUUCAACUGUGCUGUGAUGUUUCACAAAAGUUCUGAACCGUUCUAUAUUCAAACUUUCUACAUAUUGUAAAUUAGAGAUAAAUAUGUUUGCUAAGAGUAUUAUACUAUUAUUUCAAUUAACUAUAACUUUUAAAAUCACCCAGCAGGGCUAUUUGCAGAGCUAGUUCCAGGUAAAUAUUGCAAUUCUACAGCCAUUCCUGGACCUGUGACUAAAAACAAGCUACAUAAGGACAGCACAAAAACAAAUGAUCUAAUGAGUCUGUCUCUUCGCAGAAAAAUCUGCAGAGCAAGGAUGGUUGUAUCCCCCAUAUAAAUAACAUUCCAUUGGUUACAAGAAUUUUGUAUAAUAGUUCAAAUUGGAGAAACUCUUUAAGUUUUGAAUCCAGCAUUUGUGUAUCAGUUCAUAAACCAUGUGCCAUGGAAUUUGCGCAUUGAACAUUUCUUCCCAACAAUUUUGCAAAUCCACAUUGCACAGCUGUCAAUGUUUUUGGUCCUUAAUUGAAAUUGAAAUGUUUAUUUAUUGCAAUUAUCUUUAGCCAAUUUAAUUCUUUAAUGCAGGGUCGAAAGUAAAGUUCCUUACCUUUUCCCCUCCUUCCACUUUCCUCUUGCAUUUUUGCAGCAAUAAAUUGGUACCAAUUUUGAGUGGAGCAGACAUUUCCAUCUUUUUGUUGUUGUGUGUGAACUAACUCCACCUGUCCUAUUUAUGAUGAUACCGAUUUCUUUUUAUUUUAAUUGUUUUAUAUUUAAUCAAUUUGUAUAUUUGAGUUUAUAUUUGUUGUAAUAUUAGUUCUGUGUUUUCUGUUGGAUUAAACUGAAAUUGCAAUCAAAGCCGAUUAGUAAGAAAGUCUCAAGAAUGUAAGAAUGUCUCACCCCAUGUUAAAGAAUGGCCUUUUUCCCUUUAUUCAGAUUAGAAGUAUGGCUUGUUUGAAAAAUAGCAAUAUUUUGGAGAUUAUUUUUAUUUUCAAAUAACCUAAAGUGAGAGGGUGUAAUGUGAAUAAAGGGAAGAAGGCCAUUCUUGAACAUGGGGUGAGACAUUCUUACUAAUCGGCUUUUCAAGACGAUUUAUGUCAUAACUGUAACUAGGCCAUUGGAUUGUUUUUGUUUCAGUCUUGUUACACGUCCUUUUACUGUCACAACCUGUGGGUUAGGGUGAAACCAGACAAUGUAAUACAAGGAGUCAGCCUGAGGUCAACAAAACAACAGUAUUGACUGUCUGACUUGGCUUUAGCCAGACAAUAGUUUCCCAGGCUUUAGCCAGACAAAAGUGAUCUAGACAGACAGGUUGCCUCCAACAAUGUUUUUAUUUAAUAGAUGUAUUUUUUUAGGUGGUAGAUCAGCUUCAAUAUUGCAAAUAGAUACCUAUAUAACGUAGGUAGAUGACGUGCAUACCUACAUAACGUAGGUAGAUGACUUAAUGACGCAGUGGAAAACUUUGCUCUAGACGUGCAACACAGCAUUCCUAACCUCGCCCACAAUGUCUGCUGUGUGGAUCGAGCAGUCAACAAGUCGAGUAGUCAUUUGAAGGAGUAAGAACAUUUCAGCGAGACAACUCAAAAGGUGAUCCAUUUACCCCCAAGAUAAUGGGAUUCAUUGUCCUUGAUAAUCAGCUGUUCUCUGUCGUGGGUGAUGUUGACGAUUGCGACAUGGUCGAUGCAGCGGUACACGCUACCAAGUGCUCUAUUUUUUCAGAUGUUGCCCCACCGGAGUUACACAUGUCAUGACGGGGCCCUUUCAAGGUGUAGAUCGUGGCUAAGGAACAGUUAUGUUGAGUGUGUUUAAUGUAGUGACCCUUAUAAAGGACAGGAAACACACAUAACUAGAUCUCUGAAUGUGUACAUUUCUCAAUUAUGGGGUUUGCAUCUAAUUAUUGUAUAAAAUGAAUGAGUAAAGAUGAAACUAUUUGUGAACUGACGUAAUGUAAUGUUAAACUUUAAUUUGAGAGAAUUGUAUUCCCUGUAAACUAGUCAGGCGCCACGUACCCGUGAGCACAGACAUGAUCAGGUGUCACGGAACCACCCUUUUGUUAUUGUUACGAAUAAAACCCACUCCUGAGGAAAUUCACAUCAGACAAAGCAAAACCCAGCGUGAGCUGAGGUUGCAAAUGGUUGAAUUUCUAAGACUAGAAAACCAUACCAAGUGGAGCAUUGAAAUGGUUCAACUCUGAGACUAUCGAUCCCUACAGAAUAAGAGCAAAUCUUAGAUAUCAUUAAUAGACUUCAGCUAGAAAUUAUGUAAACCUAGGGUGAAAAUACAGAUAACCGCCAAAACAUAUAUUCUAAAAACAAUGGACGCCUGACGUAUCCAAUACAACAGACACUAUCCCGAGCCGCUGAUAAAGCUACAACCAUGAAAGACGUUGUGACUUCUGGGGAUGUAACCAGAAAGUCUCUGAUGAACUGACUCUCCAGCAGACGGACCGACGAUUCCAACAGAGAAGACAACAAUGACAUACGGCCGGAAAUAUAUUUAUUGCAAUUAUUCCUGAAUGAGCGGCUGUUCAUGUGCAAAGGAUUAGUAUUUCAAUGAAUAUAAUUACCCACUGCCCACACCCCCUUUCCUUUACCCACCAAGCCGUCAUAUUGGUUUAGCCCACUACGGAAUCUUCCCUAUCAUUUGUUAGUAACUAAUAUCUACUGUUUGUUUAUGCAUUUCUGUGAUUAUUUAGUUAGUAAAUAAAUGAUUAAGCCAA